CAAUAGCGUAUAUUAAAGUUGUUGCGGUUAAAAAGCUCGUAGUUGGAUUUCUGCUGAGAACGACCGGUCCGCCCUCUGGGUGUGUAUCUGGCUCUUUCUUGGCAUCUUCUUGGGGAACGUUGCUGCACUUGACUGUGUGGAGCGCUACCCAGGACUUUUACUUUGAGGAAAUUAGAGUGUUUCAAGCAGGCAUACGCCUUGAAUACAUUAGCAUGGAAUAAUAAGAUAGGACCUCGGUUCUAUUUUGUUGGUUUCUAGAGCUGAGGUAAUGAUUAAUAGGGAUAGUUGGGGGCAUUCGUAUUUAACUGUCAGAGGUGAAAUUCUUGGAUUUGUUAAAGACUAACUUAUGCGAAAGCAUUUGCCAAGGAUGUUUUCAUUA
rnacentral:rRNA from 1 species